GUGCUUGCCUUGGCAGCACAUAUACUAAAAUGGGAACAAUAUAGAGAAAGUUGUCAUGGCCGUGCACAAGGAUGACAUGCAAAUUUAUGAAACGUUCCCUGUUUUU
rnacentral:snRNA from 1 species